rnacentral:rRNA from 1 species
UAGUAUCAGCGUGUCAGCAGCCGCGGUAAUACGGAGGGUGCAAGCGUUGUCCGGAUUUAUUGGGUUUAAAGGGUGCGUAGGCGGCGUCAUAAGUCCGUGGCGAAAGCCAACAGCUCAACUGUUGAACUGCCAUGGAUACUGUGAGGCUUGAGUACAGACGAGGUAGGCGGAAUGGAUAGUGUAGCGGUGAAAUGCAUAGAUACUAUCCAGAACACCGAUUGCGAAGGCAGCUUACAGACUGUAACUGACGCUGAGGCACGAAAGCGU